rnacentral:rRNA from 1 species
GGGCCCGCACAAGCGGUGGAGCAUGUGGUUUAAUUCGAUGAUACGCGAGGAACCUUACCAGGGCUUAAAUGUAGUGGGACAGGUCUAGAGAUAGACCCUUCUUCGGACUCAUUACAAGGUGCUGCAUGGUUGUCGUCAGCUCGUGCCGUGAGGUGUCAGGUUAAGUCCUAUAACGAGCGCAACCCCUAUCGUUAGUUGCCAGCGGGUCAUGCCGGGAACUCUAGCGAAACUGCCGGUGCAAACCGAGAGGAAGGUGGGGAUGACGUCAAAUCAUCAUGCCCCCUUAUGUCCAGGGCUGCACGCAUGCUACAAUGGCAAGUACAACGAGUCGCAAUACCGCGAGGUGGAGCAAAA